rnacentral:rRNA from 1 species
GACGAACGCUGGCGGCGUGCUUAACACAUGCAAGUCGAGCGGUAAGGCCCUUUCGGGGGUACACGAGCGGCGAACGGGUGAGUAACACGUGGGUGACCUGCCUUUAGCUCUGGGAUAAGCCUGGGAAACUGGGUCUAAUACCGGAUAUGACUCCAUGAUGCAUGUUGUGGGGUGGAAAGCCUUGUGCGGCUGGAGAUGGGCCCGCGGCCUAUCAGCUUGUUGGUGGGGUGAUGGCCUACCAAGGCGACGACGGGUAGCCGGCCUGAGAGGGCGACCGGCCACACUGGGACUGAGACACGGCCCAGACUCCUACGGGAGGCAGCAGUGGGAAUCUUGCGCAAUGGGCGAAAGCCUGACGCAGCGACGCCGCGUGAGGAUGACGG